rnacentral:lncRNA from 1 species
GCUCUUCCGAUCUCUUUGGAGUGAUUCUAAUUCUGUCUGUGUCCACUGUAUCACUCCAAAAGAGUAAGUCAGUACUGGUAUGACGAAUGUGUUGUUGGCUUUGACUGUGUUUUUUCCAUUCAGAUGUGUUUUGAGAAUGUUGUUUAAUCUGUUGGUAUACUGUUUUGACAGUGUUUGUUUAGUUUUCUUUUGUUCUGUGAGUCUGGCUUGUUGGAAUCUCAAAUACUUGUACACUUCACCCUUUUCCAUGGAUUCGAUAGUGUCUCGAUUUUUAAGGGUGGAGUCUCUUUUCUUUAGGAUUCCCUUUUUUAUGUGAAGUGUUUUGCAUUUGUCUAGGCCAAACUUCAUGCAGAUGUCUUUUGAAAAUGUGUGUGAGAUUUAUAACAGCUGUUGCAAUUGUGUUUGUGUUGAAGCAUAC